rnacentral:misc_RNA from 1 species
AAGGAUCAUUACCAAUAUUAUAUGCUGCUACGGAGCUCUCAAGCAGGCAAUCGCCGGAUGUCAUCACCCUUAAGUUACUUAGUCUUGAUGCAUCCACUCCGAGGCGUAGGUCAGCUUCGAUCUUCGAGUAGCCAUUGUAUUAAAACACUUGUAUACUUAUCCCACUUCUUCCGUGAACGCAAGUUCACGGACAUACACAUAACAUUCUGUUUUUACAUUCAUGUCUGAUAAAAAUUAUAAUAAAGUUAAAACUUUCAACAACGGAUCUCUUGGUUCUC